GAUGAAGAACGUAGCGAAAUGCGAUAAGUAAUGUGAAUUGCAGAAUUCAGUGAAUCGUCGAAUCUUUGAACGCACAUUGCGCCCCUUGGUAUUCCAUGGGGCAUGCCUGUUCGAGCGUCAUUUGUACCUUCAAGCUUUGCUUGGUGUUGGGUGUUUGUCCCGAGGGACUCGCCUUAAAGUAAUUGGCAGCCAGUGUUUGGUUUUGAAGCGCAGCACAAGUCGCGAUUCAAGGCUACACGCCCGCUUCCACAAGCCUUUUUUCACUUUUGACCUCGGAUCAGGUAGGGAUACCCGCUGAACUUAAGCAUAUCAAUAAGCGGAGGA
rnacentral:misc_RNA from 1 species